rnacentral:ribozyme from 1 species
ACGGAUUUAUUCAGCCAUGGACGGUUACAGGUAAAUCUCCUAUUGCUAUCGAUACCAAUGAUGAUGGUCUUUUUUACGUUGGUCAAACAAGACUAGAACUCAAUGCUGAAAUUGGUAAUUAUGACGGCAAACAGUUGGGACCUGAGGCCGCCUUUAGCUAUCGGCCCUCAGGUCACUACGUCAUGAGUCAAGUAUGUUGUCCAAAAGUUGAGGAGUGGACUUCUGAGAUCCAAUCGGCUUGGGAAAAUAGUGAUGACAA